rnacentral:misc_RNA from 1 species
GGACGUAGUACUACCAGAAGAUCCAG